AUCUGUGUCUUCAGUAUCAUGGCCAAUGAGGUUUAUCUGAGGCAUGAUUAUUGCUAAUUGAAAACUAAUCUUCAUUUGUUUAAUCAUGAUAUACAAUUACAAAUAUUUUGACAAACAUCUGAUGCAUAUGCAU